AGGCCCCCCCGGGUGGCUCCUGGCUUCCCUGCUCUGAGAAGACCGCAUUCCCCACAUCUCCCUCUUCACCCCAUCUCAAAUGGCAGCAAGGGCUCUCCCGGGGACCCCCAGGGACACUCAUGUCCCACAACGAAAGGGUCUCCAGGCCUUGGCAGACCCCUCUCUAUCCCCUUCCCUCUCCCACACGGCGGGGAGGGGUCAGCGGCGAGACCCCCUCUCACUCUUGCUCCCACCUCACCCAGGGCCCAUCGAAGGAGCGGGAGGCAGCUGGAGGUCCGCGUCGGUCCUCACGGCCCGGGCUGGGCGUCCCCGGGGACGCAUUACCGUGCAGCCUCUCGUGCGCGUCCCCGCGGGAAGCCUCUUCUUCUAGGCGGCCGUUCCGGGCUUUGCACCUCCCCCUGGGACUGGAUUUUGAGCUGUAGCGUCGGCCUCUACCCAAGUCUCCAGGCCCGGUCACAGGCAUUUCAACGCGGGAGGUGCGGACUGAGGACCGACCAGGCACCAGGCCGCCUGGGGGCAGACCUGGAAGGUGGCUCCGGGACCCUCCCGCCCAGGCGCCCGGCGGCUCUGAUCGGCCCGGCUGUCCGUCAAUCAAGGCUCGGCGCGGCGGCGGGCACCUGCUGCGGAUUCCGGGAAGGGUCUGGUCCCUGUGCUGGCCCCGGGAACACCGCCCCUCCGAGUCCUUGGGGCGUCUGCAUCCAGCUUUCAAUCGCCGCCCCCUCACUGGCGGGGCUGAUUCUGUCGGUGCAGAACCGUUCCUGGUCCCGGUGCGAUCCUGGCCCCCUGCCUAGCACUCCCACGGCCCAGAUCCCAGCUCGAGCCUCCCUUUCCACCGCGCCGGGAGACCCCAGCUGGAGAGUCCCGAGCGGCACCGAGACCCCCGGCCGCCCGACCCCACCUAUCCAGGGCCUUGGCCAGCCCCCGGAGCUUCCCGCCCUCAGCGGGAAGAAGGAUGGGGCUGGGCCGGGGGCUGAGUGGGGGACGGAGGGCACACCUGGGAGAGGGUCGGCCUCAGGAGCUGCAGUGUUGGCCGCGAGUCUUCUCCGCUCAGCUCCAACCCCACCAGCUUCUCACCGCCGUUCCCCCCGCACCUGCGCACUUCUGCCCGCCUCUCUGCAGGGCCUGGGGAGGGAGGGAGGAAGUGAUUCUGGUCAUGGCAUCCGCGUCCUCCAGGUGCCCCCGCCGAGAGGAGAAUUUAGACUCCACAUCCACUCCGGGUGA
rnacentral:lncRNA from 1 species